UACGUAGGCAGCAAGCGUUGUUCGGAAUUACUGGGCGUAAAGAGUGUGUAGGCGGUGCUCUAAGUUUGUCGUGAAAUCUCCCGGCUUAACUCGGGAGGGUGCGGCGAAAACUGGAAUGCUAGAGGAUGGGAGAGGGUAAGCGGAAUUCCUGGUGUAGCGGUGAAAUGCGUAGAUAUCAGGAGGAACACCUGUGGUGUAGACAGCUUACUGGACCAUUUCUGACGCUGAGACACGAAAGCGUGGGUAGCAAACAGG
rnacentral:rRNA from 1 species